rnacentral:rRNA from 1 species
UGGGGAAUAUUGCACAAUGGGCGCAAGCCUGAUGCAGCCAUGCCGCGUGUAUGAAGAAGGCCUUCGGGUUGUAAAGUACUUUCAGCGGGGAGGAAGGGAGUAAAGUUAAUACCUUUGCUCAUUGACGUUACCCGCAGAAGAAGCACCGGCUAACUCCGUGCCAGCAGCCGCGGUAAUAAGGAGGGUGCAAGCGUUAAUCGGAAUUACUGGGCGUAAAGCGCACGCAGGCGGUUUGUUAAGUCAGAUGUGAAAUCCCCGGGCUCAACCUGGGAACUGCAUCUGAUGCUGGCAAUCUUGAGUCUCGUAGAGGGGGGUAGAAUUCCAGGUGUAGCGGUGACAUGCGUAGAGAUCUGGAGGAAUACCGGUGGCGCAGGCGGCCCCCUGGACGAAGACUGACGCUCAGGUGCGAAAGCGUGGGGAGCAAACAGG